rnacentral:rRNA from 1 species
UGGGUAACCUGCCCCGAAAAACCGGGACAACCCGAGGAAACUCGGGCUAAUACCGGAUGUGCUCACCGGACUCAAGUCCGGUGCGUAAAGGAAGCUUCGGCCUCCGUUUCGGGAGGGGCCCGCGGUCCAUUAGCUUGUUGGUGAGGUAACGGCUCACCAAGGCAACGAUGGGUAGCUGGUCUGAGAGGACGAUCAGCCACACUGGGACUGAGACACGGCCCAGACUCCGUACGGGAGGCAG